rnacentral:rRNA from 1 species
CCUACGGGCUGCACCAGUGGGGAAUAUUGCACAAUGGGCGAAAGCCCGAUGCAGCGACGCCGCGUGAGGAAUGACGGCCUUCGGGUUGUAAACCUCUUUCAGCAGGGAAGAAGCGAAAGUGACGGUACCUGCAGAAGAAGCACCGGCUAACUACGUGCCAGCAGCCGCGGUAAUACGUAGGGUGCGAGCGUUGUCCGGAAUUAUUGGGCGUAAAGAGCUUGUAGGCGGUUUGUCGCGUCUGCUGUGAAAAUCCGGGGCUCAACCCCGGACUUGCAGUGGGUACGGGCAGACUAGAGUGUGGUAGGGGAGACUGGAAUUCCUGGUGUAGCGGUGAAAUGCGCAGAUAUCAGGAGGAACACCGAUGGCGAAGGCAGGUCUCUGGGCCACUACUGACGCUGAGAAGCGAAAGCAUGGGGAGCGAACAGGAUUAGAUACCCUGGUAGUC